AACGAACGCUGGCGGCAUGCCUAACACAUGCAAGUCGAACGAAGGCUUCGGCCUUAGUGGCGCACGGGUGCGUAACGCGUGGGAAUCUGCCCUUUGGUUCGGAAUAACAGCUGGAAACGGCUGCUAAUACCGGAUGAUGACGAAAGUCCAAAGAUUUAUCGCCAGAGGAUGAGCCCGCGUUGGAUUAGGUAGUUGGUGGGGUAAAGGCCUACCAAGCCGACGAUCCAUAGCUGGUCUGAGAGGAUGAUCAGCCACACUGGGACUGAGACACGGCCCAGACUCCUACGGGAGGCAGCAGUGGGGAAUAUUGGACGAUGGGCGCAAGCCUGAUCCAGCAAUGCCGCGUGAGUGAUGAAGGCCCUAGGGUUGUAAAGCUCUUUUACCCGGGAAGAUAAUGACUGUACCGGGAGAAUAAGCCCCGGCUAACUCCGUG
rnacentral:rRNA from 1 species